rnacentral:rRNA from 1 species
AAGUCGUAACAAGGUUUCCGUAGGUGAACCUGCGGAAGGAUCAUUACAGAGAUUCCCUGCCCUCUUGGGUAGACCUCCAACCCCUUGCAUAUCAUACCAUUGUUGCUUUGGCAGGCCCGUCUCCGACCGCCGGUGUACUCUGGCCAGCGCCUGCCAGAGGAUCCAACUCUGAAUACAUGUUGUCCGAGCACUAUAAAAAAGUUAAAACUUUCAACAACGGAUCUCUUGGUUCUGGCACCGAUGAAGAACGCAGCGAAAUGCGAUAAGUAAUGUGAAUUGCAGAAUUCAGUGAAUCAUCGAAUCUUUGAACGCACAUUGCACCCUCUGGUAUUCCAGAGGGUAUGCCUGUUCGAGCGUCAUUGCAACCCUCAAGCUCUGCUUGGUGUUGGGCUCGGCCUCUGGGGCCAGCCUCAAAGCAAGUGGCGGCACUGGUCGACCCUCAGCACAGUAAUAAUUCUUGCUCCUGGGCUCGAUCAGCUGCAUGCCAGCAAACCCCCAUUAUCAAAGGUUGACCUCGGAUCAGGUAGGGAUACCCGCUGAACUUAAGCAUAUCAAUAAGCGGAGGAAAAGAAACCAACAGGGAUUGCCUCAGUAACGGCGAGUGAAGCGGCAACAGCUCAAAUUUGAAGUCUGACUCUUUCAGGGUCCGAGUUGUAAUUUGUAGAGGAUGCUCUGGGCAUGGCUCCGGUCUAAGUUCCUUGGAACAGGACGUCGUAGAGGGUGAGAAUCCCGUAUGUGACUGGCUGCCUUUGCCUGUGUAGAGCUCCCUCGACGAGUCGAGUUGUUUGGGAAUGCAGCUCAAAAUGGGUGGUAAAUUUCAUCUAAAGCUAAAUACCGGCCAGAGACCGAUAGCGCACAAGUAGAGUGAUCGAAAGAUGAAAAGCACUUUGGAAAGAGAGUUAAACAGUACGUGAAAUUGUUGAAAGGGAAGCGCUUGCAAUCAGACUUGCAUGUAGUCGAUCAGCCGACACUCGUGCCGGUGCACUCGACUGCGUUCAGGCCAGCAUCGGUUUCGGCGGCUGGAUAAAGGCCUUGGGAAUGUAGCUUCUCUAGGGGAGUGUUAUAGCCCUCGGUGCAAUGUAGCCUGCCGGAACCGGGGACCGCGCUUCGGCUAGGAUGCUGGCGUAAUGGUUGCAAGCGACC